rnacentral:lncRNA from 1 species
GGAGUGUUGCUUUUGCCUAAAUGCAUCGGACCACAGGCCUUUUACUGGGAAACAAACCCGCCUAAUUCUAUGAGGUUUGCUUGUAGAAAUCAGUAAAAGAAUUCUGUAGCCUGUAUGAUAAGAUCAUCUUCCAUUGGAACAAGGAAGAAGCUUGGAACUUGGAGACAUGGUUGAAUACAACUUAUAAAAAGGCAAAGACAACAAAGACGGUGCAGAGAAGGUGAACAAGACGCAUGCAGUGAACAAUGGCCUCGCAGAUGAUGCUGAUCCAACUGUUUACAUGGUUCAGAGACUUCCCAGAACAAAGCAUUGUUGGAUCAAAGGAAGAUGGCAUGCAGAACUACAAGAGAAUUUUGAAUUACACAAAACUGCCAGAUGCUGUUUCUUUCUUUGCAGUAAACUUAGCAAAAGAUACAGCUUUUUAUUAAAGUCCAAUCCUUAUGCAGUGGUCUCCUGGAAUAUUAUGUCUACUUCUGGACACCAUAGUUUAAGAAGGAUAUUAAGAAUUUGGGCUGUGCCCAGAGGAAGGGAACCAGGAUGAUAAAGG